rnacentral:rRNA from 1 species
GAGUUUGAUCAUGGCUCAGAUUGAACGCUGGCGGCAGGCUUAACACAUGCAAGUCGAACGGUAGCAGGAGAAAGCUUGCUUUCUUGCUGACGAGUGGCGGACGGGUGAGUAAUGCUUGGGAAUCUGGCUUAUGGAGGGGGAUAACUACUGGAAACGGUAGCUAAUACCGCGUAAUAUCGAGAGAUUAAAGACUGGGACCUACGGGCCAGUUGCCAUAAGAUGAGCCCAAGUGGGAUUAGGUAGUUGGUGGGGUAAAGGCCUACCAAGCCCGCGAUCUCUAGCUGGUCUGAGAGGAUGACCAGCCACACUGGAACUGAGACACGGUCCAGACUCCUACGGGAGGCAGCAGUGGGGAAUAUUGCACAAUGGGGGGAACCCUGAUGCAGCCAUGCCGCGUGAAUGAAGAAGGCCUUCGGGUUGUAAA